rfam:Asian citrus Psyllid, Diaphorina citri - Florida Strain, whole genome shotgun sequence.
UGCCUUGUAAGUGCAAGGUCGCGAGUUCGAUUCUCGCCAAGGCAA